GACGAACGCUGGCGGCGUGCUUAACACAUGCAAGUCGAACGGUAAGGCCCUUCGGGGUACACGAGUGGCGAACGGGUGAGUAACACGUGGGUGAUCUGCCCUGCACUUCGGGAUAAGCCUGGGAAACUGGGUCUAAUACCGGAUAGGACCACUGCGUGCAUGGGUGGUGGUGGAAAGCUUUUGCGGUGUGGGAUGGGCCCGCGGCCUAUCAGCUUGUUGGUGGGGUGGUGGCCUACCAAGGCGACGACGGGUAGCCGGCCUGGGAGGGGGACCCGCCACACUGGGACUGAGAUACGGCCCAGACUCCUACGGGAGGCAGCAGUGGGGAAUAUUGCACAAUGGGCGCAAGCCUGAUGCAGCGACGCCGCGUGAGGGAUGACGGCCUUCGGGUUGUAAACCUCUUUCAGCACCGACGAAGCGCAAGUGACGGUAGGUGCAGAAGAAGGACCGGCCAACUACGUGCCAGCCGCCGCGGUAA
rnacentral:rRNA from 1 species